AGAAACAGUUAAGGGCUGGAAGGAGAGAGGGAGGCAGCCCAGCUCUUUCAAGGAGGGAAGGCCACUUACUUGGGCUGCACCUGCUGCCUAUGGAGUACUCCGCUAUUGAAGAGGCCUGCGGCCCGAUCUGCAUAUCAAAUAGCUGGCGUGUAGAUGAGGCCAUUCAUUCUGCCUUCUGUGUGUUUGUCCUGCUGGGGACGGGCUGUUGUUUAGCAGCAGGCCCUGGUUCCCUCAGGCUCCCUGAGUCAGCAGCCCCCCUCACCCACACUGAAUUCAAAACCAGGAUUGAUCUUCACAGAGAAGUCUCUGAUGCAAUGGGCAAACUCAUUGUCAUCUUCAAGGACCCUCUGCCAACCCUCUGGGCAACCAGUUAAACAUCCACUCUGUUCAUCAGUGGAUUUCUAAGGUGUCUCAUGGUCCAUCCCACUGAGAAGCUACAGGGAAACUUCACAACACUCCUUGCUCCCUGUCUGAUAACUGAUGUGUUGAUAGAAGUUGAUGGACACAGACUUUAUGUGUAGUUGGCAUAAAGGACACUGAGCUACAAGAAAGUCAUCUUCAUGUUUACAGUCAAACACAGUUGACAUUUUAGAAGGAAAUGGCCUACAAGAAAAUCUUAAUGACUGUCAUAGGAGCAACCUGAGGUCCCAUCGGCUGGGGUAAAACCCCAUCCAUGCAUUGUCUCUCUAAGAGGCUUUUACUUCCUUGAGUCAUUGCUGUGACAGACAAGGGGUGACUUCCUUAAAGAGCAUGAAUGUCAACAGGCCACUGACUUUACUUCAUAUUUGUGUGAGGAUUGAAUGACGUUGUGAAAACCUCAGAGAUCCUAAAUUACACAUACUGUUUCUGACAUGGUUUCUUGAGCAUUGCACGAGCCUAAUGUCAAAGCAAGCAAAACAUUUCACUUCUCUGACUUACCCUUGGACCCGACAGUGUUAUCAAAUGCAGACACGUGGCUGGAACCAGAGUACUGAGCACCAGGCUGGAAAGAGGCCAACGAGGAGGAAUCCAUGAAGCACUGGAAGCGAGGAUGUGGUAUACCUCCAAAAUGACCAAUCCCCAAACAAGCAGUAGUUGUCAGUAUGGGUUGUCAAGAGCUAUAGCCUCAGCAGCCACUGAAUCUCUCCAAUGCUCACAGCAUGAAGCCUGGCAGCUGCCUGGGAAUCUGUAAUAGGGAUCUUGACAACAAGAAAUGAUCUGCUUCUUCUGUCCUUGUGCAGCCCAACCACCAUUCCUGGGUUAUUCCUUACCUUCUACACAGCCCCAGUUUUCUAACCCAAACAGCAAAAACUCAAAAGGAUUCAAACUCUUGAGUUAGGUAUGUAAACUCAGGAGAUUAAGACAGUGGGGUGACAGUUAAGUAUAGGACCAAUCUACAAUACAGACUGACAUCUUCACACUGAACAAACAAACAAAAUUGAUCGGGAAACUCUUUUAUUGUCAACUUAACAAGAAAUUCCUCAGUGUUUCUACAUAGAUAAGGAACAAAAGGUGGACAACUGCUUAUUUCAGCUACUUUCUGAAAAUUCCCCCUUCAAAGGGUUUGACAUUUGUUUCUUACUUGUAUGGAAGUACACACACAGAAAAACACUCUGUGAGUCUGAAACUCUAGACUUGCUCAAUGAGACAGGAUGGGACAAACCUUCAGCUCCAUCUGCACGUCUACCUACAGAUGCAAACCUCCCAUUGGAGGAUUCUUGAAAGGAAACUGAGAUCUGAGUGUGACCAUGUGGGCAUCAUGUCUGGUGCCUAGCAAGCCCAUUGGCUCUGGAUUAAAUUCCCUGGUGCUCAAUUUCUAGGUCUUUUUCUUGUUUUUUGUUUUGUUUUGUUUUGUUUUGCUUUUGUUUUCUCAAAUUGGGUUUGAAAUUGGGAGUGUGGGAGCCUACAAAUCCUGUAUAAAAUCCAGGGGAGGGCAUAGACAAUGGGGCAGUGUUCUUCAUGUGAGCCAAGCUCUCAGAUGGACUUCACAUUGACCAACUGGUUUUACAUUAACAAUGGACCUAUUUAUUUUGGGGAGAAUCUGAGACUCUUAAGUUCAACUACAUCAGAGAGCUUGUGAGUAGCAAAGGCAGGUUUGAGUUUAGAAGUCCUGGGGCUGAGGUCUGUGUCUUGCUAAUACCCCACUGCUGAUUUUUAAUCAAGCACAUUAAAUUAAAUCUUUCUUUCUUUCUUUCUUUCUUUCUUUCUUUCUUUCUUUCUUUCUUUCUUUCUUUCUCUCUUUCUUUCUUCCCCUUUUCCAUUUCUUUCCUUCCUUCCUUCUCAUCUUCUUUUUCUAAUUUGUAUCUAUGGAUUUCCCAUUCCCACCUAGAUCUGAAACUAUUUGAUGUGAGCAAAAGAAAUAGCAGCCAUGUUGUUUCCUUGGAAAGCAGCUUUGCUGCAGGCAUGAGUCUCUUGUAGAUACUUACUGUUUAACACAUUUAUACAUCACAGAUUAUUGCUUUACAUGUAUUUUGGGGAUUUGGUGAAGUCAUACUUUAAGAACCCCGGCAUUAGUGAGUGUCAGAAAGGGAAAUGGAGGGUGAGCUAGAAACUUUAGAAUUGAAUUUGUGCCAGGAACAUGAAUGGGAUUCAGAUCCAUUACACAGUGCUUCUGUAGCUUCAAAUUCCUAAAGCCCAUCCCUCCUGGAAAGAAGUGUAAGUGACAGAAAUGAUCAAGUGGAACACAUGUGUUAGAGCAGCAGGCAUGAUGCUGAUCCUUUGCUGGCCUACUUUUUUGAAAGUUAAUUGAAUCACUGUUUAGUGUUUGCCUACCUUCACAUCAUCUCAACCCUAAAUAAUUGUCAUACAUGGGAGAUGGGGACAGUAAGUGGGAAUCAUCUGUGGCUACAUUAGCCAAUUUGGUAUAUGGGUGAGACAUAGAAGUAAAUAAGCCCCAAGUUUACCAGGCUUUUUCUUCAAGAUUGUCCUCCUAAGUGUAGAGUGCUUUCCACGUGUUUUCUACAGACACAAACAACCCAGAUAUGUAGUGUAGCAUCAUAUGUUCUUUUUCUCUGGUCUCCAUAAACACUAUUCGUAUUGUCCAUGUCUGCCUUUUGCCAGUGUGUGGACAUGAUUGUGUCUGCCCCUCCUCAAAAUGACAUUCCAAGGAACCAAGUUCACAAACCUAAGAUUCUACCGGGGUCAUCAGACUACAUGAAUGUUUAUAGUGUUAGUAUAGUGUUCCCUUCUUCCUUAAAACUUUUAAGAGAUCUGUUAUAACUUUUUACAUGCAUGUGCAUAUUUAUGUAUGAGUUUAUGUCUAAGAAUAGAAGAAGAUGUGGUAUCUCUGAGAAUUGGAAUUACAAGCAGCUGUGAGCUUUUGGAUAUAUGUGCUCAGAACUGAACUCUCAUCAUCUGGAAGAGCAAUGGAUGCCCUUAACUGCUAACUCAUCUCUUCAGCAGUGUUCUCUUCUUUAUUGAGGAUCCAGAAUCUAUUCUCAGCAUCACAGUACCUCACAAUCUCUUGUCACUCCAGUUCCAUGGACCCAGCACUGUCUUCUAGCCUCUGCAGGCAACAAACAUGCACAUGGCUCAAGAUAUAUAUGCAGACAAAACAUUCAUGCACAAAAUUAAUUAAUUAAAAUAAUUUUUAAAACUUGGUGCACCAAUGGUCAGUACAUAUAUAUUUGGGAUUGUAACGUUCUGUUGACUGAUUAUUCCCCUAACCAAUAUGACAUGACCUCCUUUUAUAUCUUCUGAUUAAUGGUGUGUGAAAUCCAUUAGUAUAGCUACAACUGAUUCUUGACUGGUUUCCUUUUCUUGGAUCUUUCUGAAUUUUCUCCCCUAGGUUGUUUGCCUUGAACAGUAAGGUGCAUUUCUUAAAGGCAAUACAUAGACACAGUAUCAAAUACAAUCCCAUUAAAACUGUUAUGGCAAGAUUUCAUGAUCAAGACCAACACAUAAUACCACCAGUUGACAUACUAGUGCAAGGGGAAGAAAAUCCUGCUUGGUCUUACCUAUAGAUGAAGAACUUCAGGUGGUUGACUGAGAGAGGUCUAGAAAGGCCAUACCCCUACACUCUAGACACAUGUCAGCAUUAUGUUAAAUUGGGAGAAACUGCAAGAAUUUCCUUGAAAAUCAAGAGUGAGCUGUAGUCCCACUUUGCCUGUGAGAGUGGAGAGCCUGGCUCUGGGAACACUGCCCAGCCAGCUACAGACUGUGAUCUGGGUCAAUCAAUGUAGUGAUUAGGAAGCUUCCUGAUUUUAUUACCUGCUGCUCAGACCCAAGCUUAUUUCCCAUAGGGGGUUACCAUGAAUAAGGGACCUUGACUCUCUUGUUCCAAGACUGCCUUGGACUGCCCCACUGGACCCCAGCAGCGUCUGUCAAAAGCAAAGAAAAGCCCAGUGGGUACCUGAGCUAGCCAGUGUUUCCUGGUGGCGAAUAUGAAUGCGCAUGUCAUGUGAAGAUCAAUUGGACACUAGUUUGGAGAUGAGACUUGCAUGUAGAUUGAAAAGAGAAAGAGGAAAUGAGAAGGAAGAAGAAAGAGAGAAGGGGAAAGGGCAAAGAAUGAAGAAGGGAGGAGAGAGAGAUUCUGAACAUCGAGAGCUGAAAAGCAGAAAACCCUGGAAGUGUUUAAGCUGCCACCUUGCAGAAUCUCACUGGUGACCAAGCACAUGCGCUGUGCUGAUUUGCUCAUGUCUUAAGAAGUCAGAGCUGAAUCUUAAAAAUAUUAUCUUGGUCUGAUGAAACUUGCAGUUUUGAUUCCAAGUUUUCCGAAAAGUCUACCUCAUACGUAAAACCCAAAGCAAAGAAGCCACUUUGAGGAGAGUUUAGCUAGGUAGCAGGGAGAUGGCAACCUGAUGCCAUCAGUCGCUGUUUAACCUUGAGCUCUGUGCUCUCAGGUCUGCAGAUGUUGGCAAGCGAUCCCUUAAUGCCUCGGGGUUCAUAUCAGAAAAGAGACCAGUAAAGCCGGGUGUGGUGACUCACAGCUACAAUCCCAGGACUUGUGGGGAUGAGACAGAAGAAUUGCUGUAAAUGCCAGACCAGACAGGAACAAAGAACAAGACUGACCCAAAACAAUACCCACCACCAGCAAAAUGGGUCAAUAACAAUUCUGAUGAAGUGACUGAGUUGCAGGAGGUAUUGCAAGAAGUGUACUCUCCAAGUCUAUGCUGAGUCAGUUCUGGCUGUUAUUAGUUUCUUUGCCAAGAAUAAAACAACAACAACAACAACAAAAAACCAAAUUGGUGAACCUUGGUGGGCUCAGAGGGAACACCUGGAGCUUCUGACUGAGAGGGCAUUCUAAGCUGUAGAAGUGUUCACCUGAACAUGUUCACCACACCCCUCUGAGAGUGCUCUGCAUGAUGGUGCUUUGCUCAGCAGUGGACACCAUAUACAGUGACAGUUCUGUGAUGUAAUGUGACCCAAUGACUCAGUAGACAUCUUGGCUUGUGUAAUGUGAGUCUUGUGGGCUGGUGGAGAAUUUAUUAUGACACACUCGCACAAGCAUUAAAAUGCAUGGUUAUCUAUAACUAGGACAUCCAGUUAAGUUUUAGAACCUGAUAAUAAAAAGGCUGAAAAAUAAUGUGUGAUUAGUAAGCUAAUUUAAGGAUCAAAUUUCAAGCUAACAAUUAAAAACAAUGGACACAAA